rnacentral:lncRNA from 1 species
CAUACUGAAGACAACAAGGCCUCAUUUCAGUCAGUGCCAGCCAAAGCAGCCACUGUUUGGGAGUGCUGGGGCAGAGCUGAUCCCUGUGCCAGGGCUGCAAUCAUUGGGUGCUGGCAGAGAAAUGUUCCCUUGAAUUGUGACACAGCCAUUUUCAUCUCACAGGAUGAGAUACAGGAGAGGAAAAAUAUUUAGAAACAAUUCGAUAAAUGUAAUGAAGCUAAACCUCAAUAAAAGACUAAAUUGUGCAGAAUUUGAUGUAAAAUAAUCUUGAAGAAUUCAUCAAUCCAGUAGUAAACACAUAUCCAUUUCUUCAUUGUUCCAUUGUGGAAAAGUGGAUGCUGGCACAUGGAGAGCUUGUAUUUUAGCUUGUAAAGCUGGCUUUUAUAAUGGGUGGGUGUUGGGAGACCACAAACAAAGGGUCAGACAAGGAAACCAGAAAAUUCACUGCCAUGGAAGCAAAACUUAGGUGGAAAUUACUUCCAUAAGUGAGCAUAGAAUGAGUGGCUGCAAAAGAAAAUCUGUAGUUAGUAUUCCAUGAAUCACACACUGGUUUUAUGAAAAUAAUGGAAGACUGAAUUAGAUUUGAGCACAUGUGGUUUGUUCUCCUCAAAUCUGUGAAUUGGCCUGCACUGGAUUGGGGUGCAGAGAAGAAAUGCCAGAGUAUAUAGCCAGUAUUUUGUGCUAGAAUGCAGGUGAGGUUUGAGAAUACAGCAGACCUAAGGAAGAAAGAAAAAAAUCUACAUGAUUUCACACACAUCUAAUAAGCAGGCCCAGAAGGAGGAUCACACCUCAGUCCCAGUGGCAGUCUCUCCCCGGAGCUGAGGAGUAGCACUGGUACCACACAGAAUCAGCAACAUGUGUUUUCAUAUAAAUAAGCCACAUCUGUGAGCACCACCUUUUCUUUACCUAUCUUUUUAUACAUAUGCCUCCCUGCCUUGGAUGAUUAAAUCAUUCUGAUGGAGCUAGAAGCCUUUAGCCCUCCAGCUGCUGCAGAGACUGAAGUAACAUUUUGAGAACGGGAAAUAAACUGUGUGUCAUCUGAACUAUUUUGAAAUAU